GACGAACGCUGGCGGCGUGCUUAACACAUGCAAGUCGAACGGAAAGGCCUGCUUUCCCUUGUGGAUUGCGUGUACUCGAGCGGCGAACGGGUGAGUAACACGCGAGCUAUCUGCCCCCAACUUGGGUAUAAGCCUGGGAAACUGUGUCUAAUUCCCGAUAGGACUGCAGGGUGGUGCCUGUGGUGGAAAACGAUUUUCUAGUUGUUGGGGAUGUGCUCGAGGCCUAUCAGCUUGUUGGUGGGGUAAUGGCCUACCAAGGCGGCGACGGGUAGCCGGCCUGAGAGGGUCGACAGCGACAUUGGGACAGAGACACGGCCCAGACGCCGACGGGAGGCAGGGAAGGUGAAUAAUGCGGACUGAGCGGAAGGCUGAUGCAGCGACGGAGCGUGGGGGAUGACGGCCUUCGGAUUGUCAUCUGCUUUCGAACAAGAGGAAGGCACCUGGUUGGAAGGGUUGUGACGGUAGUUGAAGAAGAAGCACCGGCUAACUACGUG
rnacentral:rRNA from 1 species